GUGUAAAUUCUCAUCAGAGUAUAUUUGUACAGGAAUAUUAGAUGUAUAAACUCCAGAAAAAAACUUAGGCAUCAAGAAGACAAAAUGUUAGUUAACACUGGAGUGCCCCUCUAUAGAUGUACAGUGUGAUUGCACAGGGGUUGUACAAAAGCUAUUAGUUUGUACAGAUAAUUGAGGUUACUGGGAAAAAUUAGUUUGAAUAUUAAAAUAAUAUACAAGUUUGUAUCUUUUUAUGUUCUAAUUGUUGCUUUGCCUGAAGGUUUCGAAGGUACAAAUGUGGUUGGAAUCAGGCUGGAAU
rnacentral:misc_RNA from 1 species